rnacentral:misc_RNA from 1 species
CGCAUCUUGCGCUCUUGGGUUAUUCCUAAGAGCAUGCUUGUUUGAGUAACAGAAAAGCUCAACCCCGCUUUCUUUAUUGGAAGUAGACUUAGGGUUAGGAUCAUGGCAGUUUUGUUGGUUCAUAUGAAACAACUCUGUCGAAAGACAAGCGGCUGAACUUGAAAUUGUGCGCUGACACUAUUGUUGUAAUACUUCGGUUUCAAUAGUUAGCACGACUUUACAAAGUAGGCCUUGUAAAACAAUUUCUUACUUUAUGUUAGAAAUAAUUUUUAUUGCUUGUUCUCAAAUCAAGUAGGACUACCCGCUGAACUUAA